rnacentral:misc_RNA from 1 species
CCCCGACCGAACCCGGGCAAGACGAUUCGUUUCUAUCGCUUCCAUGUCCUAUGGACUAUUGUCCUCUUUCGCUCUGUUAUUCGCUGUGAAGUCAAAAGAAACGAAAGGUCACUGACAAUGGUAGCAACAACUACGAUCCCUAUGUCUCUACUGUUCACAGUUCUGGCAGUGGUCUCUUUGCUAUUGCCGGUGGAAUCAGACGAUACGAACCACAUCUACUGGCCGUGCGGUGACACCACCGUACAGCGGUCGGAUGGGUUCACUUUUGCCAUCGCUUUCGCGUCGAGGACCGCCUUCUUCUACAACAAUAAUAGCAGCCUUCAGUUAUCUCCUUGCGAUUCCAGGCUCGCUCUUUCUAGCCAGGGCUCUCAGAUCUCUGUCUUUAGACCUAAAGUCGACGAGAUCUCUCUCCUCACCAUUAAUUCCUCCUCCUUCUUUCCGGAGAAUAAUGGUGGAUACAUGGUCGCAUUUGCUGGUAGAAAAUAUGCUGCAAGGUCUCUUCCUGCUUUUGUUGCAAACAGCACAUACACCGUGACAAGCUUCACCCUGGUGCUUGAGUUUAAGAAGGGCAGGCUGCAAAACCUUUACUGGAAGAGGGAUGGAUGUGCUAGAUGUACAGGAAACAAUAAUUUUGUUUGUCUUAACAAUCAGGACUGUGCAAUUACUACAACGAACUGCAAAAACCAUGGAGGUUCAGUAGAUUGCAGCCUUGGUAUCCAAUUGGCAUUCUCUGGCACCGAUAAGCACCUCGCAGUUCUCAACUCAUGGUAUGAAGUGGAAAACCUGAGGCAGUACUCACUUUUUGGCCUUUACUCAAAUCUUAGGGAUUCUCUCACUAGCCAGUACAAUAAGAUAUUUUAGUUUUGCUUCAGCUCGUUUGUAGAAGUUUUGUUCCUGAUAUGUUGUAAUUUUUCCCUCACUGAUUUGAAAGUUGCUUAGGCCUCUACUCUUUUCUGAUGGAUUCUUCAUCCCCUUGCAGUUGUUUGUAAAUUUAGGAAUACGGUUGAUUAUUUGUGAUUAUAUAUUAAAAGAGAUUGCUGUUGUUGAAAUAUUUCUUCAUGAUGUUGACCUUAUCGAACCUUUUAAAGUUUGAAGAUGGUUGACAUGCUGUCCUAUUUUUGUUGUUGCGCUUUUCCUAACCGGCUUUAAGCUUGAAUGUGUGGAUUUGCGUGGUUG